AGAAAUCUGAGAGAAAAUAAGACAUGUAAAGUCCUGCUCACCCAUGAAAGUUUCUAAAUACAGGAGCUCUGAUUCUAAAAUCAUCUCCAUUUAUAUUGGUUUAUCUUUUUAAGACACUUUGUUGUUUCAGAGCUACCUUGCCAUGAAGAUUCAUUACCUUUUCUUUGCUCUUUUCUUCCUUGGCCAGCUGUCUACCUCAGGAACUGAAGAUGCUUAUGAAGUCAUUAGUAUCAUGGACUGUAAAAAUCAAACACUGUGUAAUUCUCAGAAUACAACUAGACACUGCUCUCAUGGGAAGGAGAUUGAACUAUGUGUCUUGCGUCUUGGAAAAAAUGCAAAGCGACUCACUAACCAUGAAGAAACAGCAAAUUAGGAAGACAGGAUGAUCAAUUUCCUUGUCUUAUUAAAAAAUAAAGUCUGCUUUCUUUUCUCUCUCCUUUUAUUCUCUAGUGACACAUUUAUUUAUUGACAGUUUGGACAAAAGUUUAUCAAGGAACUUUUCACGCUUAGGAUGAAUUACAACAAGAACCAACAUUUCUUUAGUUCCAGCAGCUCUAUGCAACUCAUUUUCAUCUAGCAUUACCUCUCCAAAACCUGAAUCUCCACAAGAAAGCCACACAGCAAUUAACCAGUGUUGCAAGAACUGCUUCUGUAAUAAAGGUGGGAAGACAAAUUGAUGCAACCCUCUUGAAAAGCAAUCUGGCAAUAUGAACCAAGAGCCAUGAAAAGGCUUAUGCUAUUAUAAUUAAAUGGCUGUAAUGUUGGCUGUAAAUAUGAAAUUUUCUUUCACACACCAAUGUUUUCAAGAAUGGCAUAUUCACAUGCAGUAUGUGAUGAAAGAAGCAGUAAAGGAUGCUAACAAAGCUAUUUCUUUGGACAAUCUGAACCUGACGGAGUCUUACUCUGUCGCCCAGGCAGGAGUGCAAUGGCACAAUCUUGGCUCACCACAACCUCCGCCUCCUGGGUUCAAGUGACUCUCCUGCCUGGCCAUAGAAGCAAACACAAACAUAGAGGAAUUGGCUUUGGGCAGAUGGAAGGACCUCAGAGAAAAGAAACAAAGGAAAGAAAACUGGAUGGAUAAAGGUUUGUAGAAAUACUAUUCACAGGAAGCAAAUAGGAAUUCCUUAUCGCUAAACAGACACUAAGUCAAUUGGUAAAGAUCUUGCCAGCUGGUGCCUGGGUGCAUAGACUGCCUAUGGCUCUUGAAUUGCAUGCUGAAAACUUCAUAAUGAAACCAGAAAAUCACAGAAGCAUAAACACAGCUGCUUAUGCCUAUAAAUUAUUGCUGGUGAAAAGGAUGUUUAAGCAGAGUGAGAGACUCUCAGCAAAAAAAGGUAACUGAAAGAGUGGUAAGUCAGACAAAGAAGAAAAAUGCCAAAGAAGAGGGUCAAGAACAACUCAUAUGACUCCGAAAUCCCUUACCCACAUUGGAGUUAUAAAAAGUUCAGGAGCUGGAGACAAAAGGCAGGUUCAUAAAGAGGAUUCCUUGGAGAGAGUUGUUAUAAUGCUAUGAGAAAAUUGAAGCCAACAGAAGUUAACUAACUUGCCUAAAAUAACACAGCUGUGGCAAAUUAGGACCAGAACCAAGGUCUCCUGACCUAAGUGCUACUCCCACCAUACUACAUGAUCUGCUGUUUAAAAUUUUGGUGAGCUUUAUAACAUAAAUAAAACUACAGAUGUGAAGGAC
ensembl:lncRNA LINC03076 long intergenic non-protein coding RNA 3076